ensembl:lncRNA
GUGGAAGUCUGCAGUUCUUAACUUCACUUUUAGUUAGUUAAUGUUCCAGCUGUGCUGCUGUUCAAAUGCAGCCACCUCUACAAGGCAGGAGAGAAAAAGGAGUUAAUUGACUUGAAUACAAAACUACUCUCCUUCUGCCUUUGCUGCUACUGUGUCUCAGUGUGUUAGUAGGUUGACUCAUUAGUGCAAGGAGAUGUCUGCUGGCCUUUAAGCUGUUGCUUCUGGGGCUAACAGGCUCUGCUUUUUUCCCAGUGGGCUGGUGAAGGAGUACACUACUGAGAAGAGAGGAAAAGCUUAACAAGUAUAUGGCUUGUUAGUAAAAUGGCUGCUGUGUGUAGAAUAGGAAUGCAGCCUGUGUUGGAAGGGACCUCCCACUUGUAGCUCUGCCCCGGUCUGCCUGAACUUCAACUGCCAUCUCCAAUGGUAGUGUCCAAAUGCUUCUCCAACUCCCUCAGCCUGGGGCUGUGACUGCUGCCUGGGGAGCUUGCUCUAACCACCCUCUGGUCCAGGGUCUUGUUGUAAUCUCCAAGGUGGCUUAAUACACGCACAUUACCAUGCAUCUAAGUCCCUUGCCCUGGUCAUUUCUAGAAAUACUGAAGUGCGUGUGCCCUGAAAUGAAGCCCCGUGGCCCCUGACGAGUGCUGGUCUGCUGGCCUCUUGCACUCCCCUUUAUUCUAACAAAUGCUUUGAGCCCCUUUUGCAGGGGGCUGAGUCACAGCUUAGCUUUUAGUUUAAGGUUUUAGGAGGAAGGAGUGUUUCAUGGUGUGAGAUUUAGUCCUCAGGCUUGCUUUCAUGACAAGGAUUUUCUUUACCUACUCCCCUGCGUGAUACAUGCUUUGAACCAGACCAGAGGACAAGAUUUCUUGCUUUGGUAACCGGGGCUUUCUCUUCCGCAGUGGGAUGUUGUAGAAACACACAGGCACAGAUUGAUAAAACAGAAAAUAGAGCAGUUACUGAAUCUGUGUCUGAACUAGAAGUUGAUGGCGUAUUCCUCUGGUAGAGGAAUGUGAAAAGAUGGGGCCUGAAGCAGGAGUAAGUUUAUAGCUAAAGCGUAAAGAUCUUGCUCUCGCCCAAAGUUGGGAAUAUUUAACUGCUCCAAGCCCAGUCAUUUCACUGUACGCAUUUUCUGCCUAGUACCAGUAUGCGUCUCCUCUCCCAGUUCCUCCAUCUGUGAUGAGAAGAAAAGAUUUCCUUUUGUUUAUUUUGUUUUCAAGACAAAUGAUAAAUAAAAACCCUCAUCCUUAACUCACAGGAGCUUGGCAACAGCCUUUGACUCUGACUGGUUCCAAAAAUCUGACGUUUGAUCUCUUGUCAUUCAUAUUGAACACCGAUCCCUAGUUGCACAGCAUCCAAGGAAGCUCUAGCCUUCUCCAAUUUCUACACUCACUUGAAGUAAUUACAGCCAUAGUUAUUUCCCUUCAGCCUCUGUUACUGUGCUGAGAAGAUAAGUCCCUUCCCCCAAACCUACAUGUUGCAUGACAAGCCAUGGGGACUCUUUGUCAAAAGCCAAACCUGAGGCUUUACUUAGAAAAGCUGCAGGAAGAACUCGCUCGGUUCCAAGACAGGGCAAUUCUCUCUCUUAAAAGAAAUUUUAUUGCUGUUCUCAAGAACGAACUGGUUUCCAACCUAUUCACUUUCUGGAUGUAAGUUCACAAUGGUGAUUUUUUUCCCCCCUCCAACUCAGAGUAUUUUUCUUUUUUUCCUCUAAAUGAUAAUUACCUAGGAAAUAUCCUUUCUGGCAGCCCAAAUUGUAAACUGCACAGAACAUUCUCUGCUCACAGAAGCCUUAGUCCUAUUUAUCCCACGGAAGGUUCCCAUUGUUAAGAAGUCCCACACGAAGAAAUGGUCCAGAAUUUCAGUAAUCUUGAGAAAGGUGGAUUUUCAUUUAAGAUUUUUCAGAGAUCGCAAGGCUAAACUUGUACUCCCUUUCCACGGGACUUGCUUAGAGUCAGUCUGACCUCCUCCCAUGACACUGUGAAUAACUCUGUGCUCAGAUCAGCAUUUAACAACCUCGCUGUGCUAUUCCACCCCGAACUCUUUACUCUGGGAACCAAUUGCUGCAUUCAUUGGGCAGCAUUUAUUGCCUUAUGGGAACAAAGGAUGCAGAGUCCCUGUAAAGUGCGGAGCACUCUGGAAGUGGCUAUCUCCACAGAGGUAUCAGGUAACACCACACUCUUCUCUGUUGAGACUUGACAGGGAAUGAAACAGGUUCACCAUAAGUUACCUACCUCUGAGCAAUUGUUUCUGAAUAGCAUGUAGAAUCCCAAAGACUAUAAACAACAAAGAAGAACCCUCCCGUAGAAAACAAGUUCCAAUAUUAAAAGCCCUGUCAUCAGGGAAGCCUCAUAAAACAAAAAGAUCUGUUGCUCUCCUCGAUUCCCCCCCCACACGCACACACACCAAAAGGCAACAAAGCCAGCCAAGCAGCAUUAUUUCAGACAGGUUCUGCUUCUGCAACACUCAAUGCGCUUCACAGCUUUCACUUAACUCAGGCAGAGGAG